UACCAUAAACUCCGCAGCCAAGCUAUGGAGCAUGGUUAACAAAUCCAUCCAAGGUAAAGAUCUCCACGUCUAGGAGUUACCUUGGAUGGUCAUGCGGGAAACCGCAUGGGUGGCCGAAAGGCUGUC
rnacentral:sRNA from 1 species